rnacentral:rRNA from 1 species
UACGGAGGGAGCUAGCGUUGUUCGGAAUUACUGGGCGUAAAGCGCACGUAGGCGGCUUUUUAAGUCAGGGGUGAAAUCCCGGGGCUCAACCCCGGAGCUGCCCUUGAAACUGGAAGGCUAGAAUCUUGGAGAGGCGAGUGGAAUUCCGAGUGUAGAGGUGAAAUUCGUAGAUAUUCGGAAGAACACCAGUGGCGAAGGCGACUCGCUGGACAAGUAUUGACGCUGAGGUGCGAAAGCGUGGGGAGCAAACAGG